rnacentral:rRNA from 1 species
GUGCCAGCAGCCGCGGUAAUACGGGAGUGGCAAGCGUUAUCCGGAAUUAUUGGGCGUAAAGCGUCCGCAGGUGGCCCUGUAAGUCUGUCGUUAAAGCGUGGAGCUUAACUCCAUUUAAGCGAUGGAAACUACAGGGCUAGAGUGUGGUAGGGGCAGAGGGAAUUCCCGGUGUAGCGGUGAAAUGCGUAGAUAUCGGGAAGAACACCAGUGGCGAAGGCGCUCUGCUGGGCCAUCACUGACACUCAUGGACGAAAGCCAGGGGAGCGAAAGGGAUUAGAUACCCCUGUAGUCCUGGCCGUAAACGAUGAACACUAGGUGUCGGGGGAAUCGACCCCCUCGGUGUCGUAGCCAACGCGUUAAGUGUUCCGCCUGGGGAGUACGCACGCAAGUGUGAAACUCAAAGGAAUUGACGGGGGCCCGCACAAGCGGUGGAGUAUGUGGUUUAAUUCGAUGCAACGCGCAGAACCUUACC